UACGUAGGGUGCGAGCGUUGCCCGGAAUUACUGGGCGUAAAGAGCGCGCAGGCGGUCGUUCAAGUCGAGUGUGAAAGCCCCCGGCUCAACUGGGGAGGGUCAUUCGAUACUGAUCGACUCGAAGGCAGGAGAGGGAAGUGGAAUUCCCGGUGUAGUGGUGAAAUGCGUAGAUAUCGGGAGGAACACCAGUGGCGAAGGCGACUUCCUGGCCUGUUCUUGACGCUGAGGCGCGAAAGCUAGGGGAGCAAACGGG
rnacentral:rRNA from 1 species